rnacentral:misc_RNA from 1 species
GAAUUGGUUUGGCCAUUCUCUACGGCCGUCGGAAUCGGAAGACAGCCGUCGGGUUCUUCCAUCCCUACACCAACGACGGCGGAGGCGGUGAGAGAGUUCUGUGGUGCGCCGUCAAAGCUAUUCAGGAUGAAAACCCUACCCUCGAUUGCCUCAUCUUCACCGGCGAUCAUGAUGCUUCACCAGAGAGCUUGAUGGCUCGUGCUAUCGAUCGAUUUGGCGUCAAACUUCAUUUUCCACCCAAGGUUGUGCAUC